CAAGCUAUGCAUCCAAACGCGUUGGGAGCUUUCCCAUAUGGUCGACCUGCAGGCGGCCGCGAAUUCACUAGUGAUUAGAGUUUGAUCAUGGCUCAGGAUGAACGCUAGCGGCAGGCUUAACACAUGCAAGUCGAGGGGUAACAUAAGUGCUUGCACUUGAUGACGACCGGCGCACGGGUGCGUAACGCGUAUAGAAUCUACCUUAUACUAGGGGAUAGCCUUUGGAAACGAAGAUUAAUACCCUAUAGUAAGUAUUUAUGGCAUCAUUUAUACUUUAAAGGUUACGGUAUAAGAUGACUAUGCGUCCUAUUAGUUUGUUGGUGAGGUAACGGCUCACCAAGACUUCGAUAGGUAGGGGCCCUGAGAGGGGGAUCCCCCACACUGGUACUGAGACACGGACCAGACUCCUACGGGAGGCAGCAGUGAGGAAUAUUGGACAAUGGAGGAAACUCUGAUCCAGCCAUGCCGCGUGCAGGAUGACGGCCCUAUGGGUUGUAAACUGCUUUUAUGUAGGAAGAAACACUCUCACGUGUGAGAGCUUGACGGUACUACAAGAAUAAGGGCCGGCUAACUCCGUGCCAGCAGCCGCGGUAAUACGGAGGGUCCAAGCGUUAUCCGGAAUCAUUGGGUUUAAAGGGUCCGUAGGCGGGCUAUUAUGUCAGAGGUGAAAGUUUGCAGCUCAACUGUAAAAUUGCCUUUGAAACUGGUAGUCUUGAAUUAUUAUGAAGUGGUUAGAAUAAGUAGUGUAGCGGUGAAAUGCAUAGAUAUUACUUAGAAUACCAAUUGCGAAGGCAGAUCACUAAUAAUAUAUUGACGCUGAGGGACGAAAGCGUGGGGAGCGAACAGGAUUAGAUACCCUGGUAGUCCACGCCGUAAACAAUGGAUACUAGCUGUUCGGAUUUAUCUGAGUGGUUAAGCGAAAGUGAUAAGUAUCC
rnacentral:rRNA from 1 species